rnacentral:tRNA from 1 species
AAAAAGAUAAGCUAAAUUAAGCUAAUGGGUUCAUACCUCAUUUAUAAAGAUUAUUCUUUUCUUUUUA